CUCCAUCUCUGGAAGCCUUUCAGAAUCGUCCUCUUACCGUGCCCUUGCUCUUUCUGUCCCCUUUUCCUGGUUUUCCCCUUGUGUUUGCUUGUUUGUUUUUCAGUUUUCAAGGCCCAGCUCAAAGCCAGUGUUUUCCUCAUGGCUUUGGGCAGGAGUGAGCGCUCUUCCCUGGACCCAUUCACUCGUCCUCUGUUGCUUGUGCCUGCACCCUGGCACCAUUCAUGUGCUCUGCUGGCCUGUGUCUCCUGUUAGAUGUUUCUCAUUCUUGGAAGAGAAAACCAGGCGCCGGGACGGCAUCCUGACGAAGAGAAGCAUCAGAUUCCCCGUGGAGACGAAAAGGAACUGGCAGUGUUGACCGCGCUAGAACAAGCCACAACAACACCAGACGAUGCGGAGUGAAGUUUAAAGCGGGGAAGAUGGGUAAGUGCCAAUAGAUGCAGAGUGAGAUCUCGAAUGCAGCAGGUGCACAGGAGCACGACGCAGCCACUGAAGGCUCUCUGCACGUGAUCUUAUUCCUGCUGAAGAAAAACGUGACCAGAAUCACAAGAACUGGAUGAUUACAAGUGGAAGGAAACUUACAGGCCAUCAAGACAACUUUUAUCAUUAUGCAACACCCUUCUUAGUCUCUUAUUAUAGUCUUUAUUUUAAACUAUAUUUUGUCUGAUAUAAGUAUAGCUACUUAUACUCUCUUUUCAUUUCCAAUUCUAUGAAACGUUUUUCUCUCCCCUCACUUUCAGUCUGUGUAUGUCUUUAUAUCUAAAGCGAAUUUCCUAUAGGCAGCGUAUAGACGGGUCUUGUGCUUUUAUCCAUUUAGCCGCUCUAUGUCUUUUCAUUGGAAAAUUUAGUCAAUUUACAUUUAAAGUAAUUAAUGAUAGGUAUAUGCUUAUUGCCAUUUUUUUCAUUGUUUUCUGGCUGUUUUUGUAGUUUCUUGUUUUUGUUUCUCCUAUUUCUUUCUUCUUCUCUUGCUCUUUUUCUUUGUGGUUUGAUGACUUUCUUUAGCAGUAUGCUUAUAUCCCUUUAUCUUUUGUGUAUUUACUAUAGGUUCUUGUUUUUGGUUACCAUGAGGCUUACAUAUAUAACAACUUAUGUCUAUAACAGUCUAUUUUAGGUUGAUAGCUACUUAAGUUUGAUCACAUUAUAAAGCUCAAGAUACUUACUCUCCCUUCCCCAUGUUUUAUGUGAUUUUUUAUGUUACAUUUUACACAUUUUAAUCUUUUGUAUCCCUUAACUUAUUGCUGUAAUGAUAGGUAUUUUUACUGCUUUUUAAUUUCAACCUUUAUACUAGCUUCAUGUGUUUUCUUGUUAUUAGUUAGUGCCCUUUCUUUUCAGCUUAAAGAAGUCCCUUUACCAUUUCUUGUAAGAAUGCUUUGGUGGAUAUGAACUUCAUAACUUUUGCUCUUUUGGAAAACUCUUUACCUUUCCUUUAAUUCUGAAUGAUAACUUUUCUGGGAAGAGUAUUCUUGGGUGGAAGUCCCCUCCACCCCCAGCAAUUUGGCUAUAUUGUGGCACUCCAUUUUGGACUGCAGAACUUCAGCUAAAAAAUAUGCUGAUAGUCUUAUGGGGUUUUCCUUGUACAUAACAAGUUGUUUUUCUCUUGCUGUUUUUAAGAUUGUCUCACUGUCUUUAACUUGGCAUUUUAAUAUAAUUUGUCUUGGUGUGGGUCUCUUUGGGUUCAUCUUAUUUUUUAAAAAAACUUUUAUUGGAGUAUAGUUGAGUAACAAUGUUGUGUUAGUUUCAGGUGUACAGCAAAGUGAAUCAGUUAUACAUAUAUCCAUGCUUUUUUUAGAUUCUUUUCCCAUAUAGGUCAUUACAGGAGAGUUCCCUGUGCUAUACAGUAGGUUCUUGUUAGUUAUCUAUUUUAUACAUAGUAGUGUGUACAUGUCAAUCCUAAUCUCCCACUUUAUCCUUCCCCACUUCUUUCCCCCUGGUAACUAUAAGUUUGUUUUCUACAUCUGUGACUGUAUUUCUGUUUUAUAAAUAAGUUCAUUUGUAUCAUUUUUUAGGUCCCACAUAUAAGUGAUAUUUGUCUUUCUCUGUCUGACUUACUUCACUCAGUAUGACAAUCUCUAGGUCCAUCCAUGUUGCUGCAAAUGGCAUUAUUUUGUUCUUUUUUAUGGCUGAGUAAUAUUCCAUUGUAUGUAUGGACAACAUCUUUUUUUAUACAUAUAUGUUUAUUUAAUGAAUGAAUGAAUGAAUUUUUUUUUUACAGUAGGUUCUUGUUGGUUAUCUAUUUUAAAUAUAGCAGUGUGUACCUGUCAAUCUCAAACUCCCAAUCUAUUCCUCCCCUCCACCCUUCCCCCCUGGUAACCAUAAGUUAAUUCUCGAAAUCUGUUAGUCUGUUUCUGUUUUGUAAAUAAGUUCAUUUGUAUCAUAUUUUUAAGAUUCUGCAUAUAAGUGAUAUCAUAUGAUAUUUGUCUUUCUCUGUCUGACUUACUUCACUUAGUAUGGUGAUCUCCAGGUUCAUCCAUGUUGCUGCAAAUGGCAUUAUUUCAUUCUUUUUAUGGCUGAGUAAUAUUCCAUUGCAUAUAUGUACCACAUCUUCUUUAUCCAUUCAUCUGCUGAUGGACAUUUAGGUUGCUUCCAUGUCUUAGCUAUUGUGAAUAGUGCUGCUAUGAACACUGUGGUACAUGAAUCUUUUUGAAUUAUGGUUUUCUCAGGGUAUAUGCCCAGGAUUGGGAUUGCAGGAUCAUAUGGUAACUCUAUUUUCAGUUUUUUGAGGAACCUCCAUAUUGUUCUCCAUAGUGGCUGCACCAAUUUACAUUCCCACCAGCAGUGUAGGAGGGUUCCCUUUUCUCCACACCCUCUCCAGAAUGUAUUAUUUGUAGACUUUUUGAUGAUGGCUAUUCUGACUGGUGUGAGGUUUGGAACUCUAUGGGCUUCCAUGAGCUUGGUGUAGUAUGAAGACUCUUGGGAAAUUUAUGAUGGAAACAAGAAAGUAAUGAUCAAGGAGACUAUUAACUGAAUUCUAACAUUGUGAGCAUCUCCAAAUAGUUGGAAAAAAGAGCAUAGCACGUUUUGACACCAUGGACAAGUGUUGUGGUAGAAACUGGCAAGGUACUUACCAAACUAUUUCCAAUUUCUGAGUGCACAGAAGAACUGUAUUUCUCAGCCUCCCUGCGGUGAAAUUGGGACGAUGACACAAAUUUGUCCAAUGGCAUGUGGGUGGGAGCGAUAUUUGCCAAUUCCAGGCCUGGCAAUAAAUGCCCCACACAAUCCUUCUACUUCUCUCUGCCCCAUGCACAGAAGAAAGAAAAGGAUUCAGAGAUGGUGGAACCAUAUGAUAGAAGGGUCAACAUUCCAGAGUCACCACUUGGUGCAGAAGCCAGCAUAAAAAUGAAUUGGAAAAGCAAAUAUCACCUCUAGGAUUCACUGAUGCUACUUUAAUUAAACGCACAUUACCUUGGGGAUGUUUUAAACGUUCCAUCUCAAAACGGUAGAGACACGAGCAGCAUGGAAACCACAUCUUCCACUCCUCUCACCUCCUUUUGGACGUGGCAGAUUGAAUUUUGGCUGAGUCUGUGUCAAAAUUCAGACACUUGGCCACGGUUAAUCUCUCACUGCUACUGCAAAGGCAGUAAUAACAACCAGCUGAGUGAAGAAUGAAGCCCAGACUUGGAAAACAAGCAGAGCCACCCCUUGGUGAGGUCUUGCUACUCGGCAAUACUUGUUACGGGAGCCCUGG